AGUGAACGCUGGCGGUAGGCCUAACACAUGCAAGUCGAACGGCAGCACAGUAAGAGUUUGCUCUUAUGGGUGGCGAGAGGCGGACGGGUGAGGAAUACAUCGGAAUCUACUUUUUCGUGGGGGAUAACGUAGGGAAACUUACGCCAAUACCGCAUACGACCUACGGGUGAAAGCAGGGGAUCUUCGGACCUUGCGCGAUUGAAUGAGCCGAUGUCGGAUUAGCUAGUUGGCGGGGUAAAGGCCCACCAAGGCGGCGAUCCGUAGCUGGUCUGAGAGGAUGGUCGGCCGCACUGGAGCUGGGACACGGUCAAGGCUCCUGCGGGAGGCAGCAGUGGGGAAUGUUGGGCAGUGGGCGCAAGCCUGGUCCAGCCAUACCACGUGGGUGAAGGAGGCCUUCGGGUUGUGAAGCCCUUUUGUUGGGAGAGAAAAGCAGCCGGUUAAUACGCCGCUGUUCUGACGGUACCCAAAGAAUAAGCACCGGCUAACUUCGUG
rnacentral:rRNA from 1 species